rnacentral:rRNA from 1 species
UAGGGAAUCUUCGGCAAUGGGGGCAACCCUGACCGAGCAACGCCGCGUGAGUGAAGAAGGUUUUCGGAUCGUAAAGCUCUGUUGUAAGUCAAGAACGGGUGUGAGAGUGGAAAGUUCACACUGUGACGGUAGCUUACCAGAAAGGGACGGCUAACUACGUGCCAGCAGCCGCGGUAAUACGUAGGUCCCGAGCGUUGUCCGGAUUUAUUGGGCGUAAAGCGAGCGCAGGCGGUUUGAUAAGUCUGAAGUUAAAGGCUGUGGCUCAACCAUAGUUCGCUUUGGAAACUGUCAAACUUGAGUGCAGAAGGGGAGAGUGGAAUUCCAUGUGUAGCGGUGAAAUGCGUAGAUAUAUGGAGGAACACCGGUGGCGAAAGCGGCUCUCUGGUCUGUAACUGACGCUGAGGCUCGAAAGCGUGGGGAGCGAACAGGAUUAGAUACCCUGGUAGUCCACGCCGUAAACGAUGAGUGCUAGGUGUUGGAUCCUUUCCGGGAUUCAGUGCCGCAGCUAACGCAUUAAGCACUCCGCCUGGGGAGUACGACCGCAAGGUUGAGG